GGGCUUGUAGCUCAGUUGGCUAGAGCACUUCCAUGGCAUGGAAGGGGUCAGGGGUUCGAAUCCCCUCAAGUCCACCA
rnacentral:tRNA from 1 species